rnacentral:rRNA from 1 species
GUACAGGUGGUGCAUGGCUGUCGUCAGCUCGUGUCGUGAGAUGUUGGGUUAAGUCCCGCAACGAGCGCAACCCUUGUCCUGUGUUGCCAGCAUGCCCUUCGGGGUGAUGGGGACUCACGGGAGACUGCCGGGGUCAACUCGGAGGAAGGUGGGGACGACGUCAAGUCAUCAUGCCCCUUAUGUCUUGGGCUGCACACGUGCUACAAUGGCCGGUACAAUGAGCUGCGAUACCGUGAGGUGGAGCGAAUCUCAAAAAGCCGGUCUCAGUUCGGAAUUGGGGUCUGCAACUCGACCCCAUGAAGUCRGAGUCUCUAGUAAUCGCASAUCAGCAGUGCUGCGGUGAAUACGUUCCCGGRUCUUGUWCACACCAA